AUGGUCAAUGGCCUAACGGCUGAACCAGCAAUUUGGGGGAAUGUAUGGUAUUUAUAUCAAUAUAUGCAUGCUGAGGUAUGUAUAUAUAUUGACUAUGUCAAAUCAAGUUCUAGAUAGAUAACUGAUAAUGACAAAUUUCUAUCUAUAUGUCUUGACCAAGUCUUGUGCCAGCAGUCGCGGCAAUACAAGGAAGACUAGUGUUAUUCAUCUUUAUUAGGUUUAAAGGGUACCUAGACGGUUUUGAUAGCUCCAAAAGAGUACGUCAAAACUAGAGUUUGAUAGGAGAGGUAAAUAUUAGGGCUAUUGGUGUAGAGAUGAAAUUCUUUGAUACUAAUAGAACGGAUAAAGGCGAAGGCAACCCUCUAUAUAUAAACUGACGUUGAGGGACGAAGGCUUGGGGAGCAAAUAGGAUUAGAUACCCUAGUAGUCCAGGCAGAAAAUUAUGAAUGUUAUAGACUGAAUAUAAAGUUGGUGUAUAAAUGAAAGUGUAAGCAUUCCACCUCAAGAGUAAUGUGGCAACACAGGAACUGAAAUCAUUAGACCGUUUCUGAAACCAGUAGUGAAGUAUGUUAUUUAAUUCGAUGACCCUCGAUAAACCUUACCACAAUUUGAAUAUUAUUUGUUGUAAAUCCUUUAGGGGUAUCAAAUAUUACAGGCGUUGCACGGCUGUCUUCAGUUAAUGUCGUGAGAUUUUGGUUAGAUUCAUUAAAUUAACGUAAAACCCUUGCUCCACAGCGACUUAUGGUUUAAAUAUUAUUAGUAAUAAUAAAAUUGCAGCUAUAUAUAUCGCAAUUUGUGAAGCAGUUCACCGCUAUAUUGGAUACGAUAACAGGACCAAGACAGUCAUCAUGACCUUAAUAUUGUGGGCU
rnacentral:rRNA from 1 species